rnacentral:rRNA from 1 species
GAUGAACGCUGGCGGCGUGCCUAAUACAUGCAAGUCGAGCGAACGGACGAGAAGCUUGCUUUUCUGAUGUUAGCGGCGGACGGGUGAGUAACACGUGGAUAACCUACCUAUAAGACUGGGAUAACUUCGGGAAACCGGAGCUAAUACCGGAUAAUAUUUUGAACCGCAUGGUUCAAUAGUGAAAGACGGUCUUGCUGUCACUUAUAGAUGGAUCCGCGCUGCAUUAGCUAGUUGGUAAGGUAACGGCUUACCAAGGCAACGAUGCAUAGCCGACCUGAGAGGGUGAUCGGCCACACUGGAACUGAGACACGGUCCAGACUCCUACGGGAGGCAGCAGUAGGGAAUCUUCCGCAAUGGGCGAAAGCCUGACGGAGCAACGCCGCGCGAGUGAUGAAGGUCUUCGGAUCGUAAAACUCUGUUAUUAGGGAAGAACAUAUGUGUAAGUAACUGUGCACAUCUUGACGGUACCUAAUCAGAAAGCCACGGCUAACUACGUG